CCUCCUGCUCUUUCUUCUCUUCACCGUUUCUUCUCCAUUCUCUCUGUUUAUUUUGCAGAUUUGAUAUCAUCGAAAAUUAACCAUUAGCUACAGAGAAAAAUCAAUAUGGUUUGUGUUUUUGGGAAGAAAGACUCCUACAGAAACUAUGGAAUGUAAUAGUCAUGCAUUAUUCCUUGAGCACUUGAUUUUCUCGAAACGAAAGUACGGAAUUUCAAACAAAACCAAAUUGUGGUCAAGGAGGUGGGCAGACAAUGGAAAUUGUGAUAAGCAAUUUCAAGGUCUUAUACAAGCUUACAAAGUAAAGUUACAUAAACAAAAAGUGAUGAACUGGGAACAAGGUAGAUACAAUAUAACAAUCAUGGAUGGAUAUUUUAACUGGGGACAACGAGGUGGGCGAGACAGAGAGACAAUGACGAUCAUGGUACACCAUGUGCGUUAAUGGGAUUGACUCCCUGAUUUACCAUUUGGGGAUGCUGGCAGACUCUACAUAUGAAAAAAAAUGCAAACAAGGUUUUUAUGAGUCAAGCACUGGAGCCUGCUAGCAGAUAUCCUUGCAUCGAACCCAAGUGAUCAUGAACGCAAGGUUUCUGUUCAUGUGGUGAAGGAGGGAGAUGCUACUCUUCAACAUAUCUCUUAUAUCCAAAGACCUUUAAUGACAACCUACCAAGUACCUGUAGGGUGUUCAUGUUUCUGAUUACAAUGGAUGUUCUUUUAGUCUUUUUUUUUUUUUUUUUGGGUGUUGCCACAUUGGUCGGUAAUGUGGAGAAGGUUGAUGUGUUAAAGUUAUAUACUGCUGACAUUACAUUUUGAAUAAAUGUGUCUUUACAUAUUGGACGCAGGGAACCUAGCUUUGGAUCUUGGCUUUGAGUAUCAAAGUUGAUUUUGGCGGACAAAAACAAAUUUUGUUAGCUUUGCACAAUUUUACAUUCAAUGGUCUGGAACAGGCAUAUAUUCGAGUGUCUUCUUAAUUUGAUAGCAGUUAAUAGCAAUCAAAGAAGCAGAACUGCAGUUGCAGGCGAUGAGUGGAGCUGGCAGAAUGUAAGUGUUCUUACUGCCAACUACGUUUCAUAUUGAGUUUU